GACGGAGGGUGCAAACGUUGUUCGGAAUCACUGGGCCUAAAGAGCACGUAGGCUGCGCGCUAAGUCAGGUGUGAAAUCCCCCGGCUCAACCGGGGAACUGCACCUGAUACUGGCGUGCUCGAGGACGGUAGGGGUGAGUGGAACUCCAGGUGGAGCGGUGAAAUGCGUAGAUAUCUGGAGGAACACCGGAGGCGAAAGCGGCUCACUGGACCGUCUCUGACGCUGAGGUGCGAAAGCGUGGGGAGCAAACAGG
rnacentral:rRNA from 1 species